GAGCUGGCAGGGGAGCCGUGAAUCUGGAGGAUGACCAUCACUCUACCAACAAGGAUUGCGUUGGGGCCAGACUUGCGGUGUUUGUUCCAGACCAGGCCUCUGAGGAGAGCUGAUGGAGGAGCCAAGACUCUGGAGGACGACAUCACUCUACCAACAAGGAUCCUCAUAAGUUUGCAUAAAACCAGGAAUCUGGAGGACUGACGGAGAAGCUGUACAU